CCUACGGGUGGCAGCAGUGGGGAAUAUUGCACACUGGGGGCUACCCUGAUGCAGCGCCGCCGCGUGAGCGAUGACGUAUUUCGGUAUGUACAGCUCUAUCAGCAGGGAAGAACAUGACGGUCUCUAACUAAGAAGCCCCGGCGACCUACGUGCCAGCAGCCGCGGUACUACGUAGGGGGCAAGCGUUAUCCGGAUUUACUGGGUGUAACGGGAACGUAGACGGUUCUGCAAGCCAGAUGGGAAAGCCCGGGGUUCAACCUCGGGACUGCAUUUGGAACUGUAAGGCUAGAGUGUCGGAGAGGCAGGCGGAAGUCCGAGUGGAGCGGUGAAAUGCGUAGAGAUUAGGAGGAACACCAGUGGCGAAGGCGGCCUGCUGGACGAUGACUGACGUUGAGGCUCGAAAGCGGGGGGAGCAAACAGGAUUAGAUACCCGAGUAGUC
rnacentral:rRNA from 1 species